rnacentral:rRNA from 1 species
GUGAGGAAUAUUGGACAAUGGAGGAAACUCUGAUCCAGCCAUGCCGCGUGAGUGAUGAAGGCCUUCGGGUUGUAAAGCUCUUUCAGCUGGGAAGAUAAUGACGGUACCAGCAGAAGAAGCCCCGGCUAACUCCGUGCCAGCAGCCGCGGUAAUACGGAGGGGGCUAGCGUUGUUCGGAAUUACUGGGCGUAAAGCGCGCGUAGGCGGACCAGAAAGUUGGAGGUGAAAUCCCAGGGCUCAACCUUGGAACUGCCUUCAAAACUCCUGGUCUGGAGUUCGAGAGAGGUGAGUGGAAUUCCGAGUGUAGAGGUGAAAUUCGUAGAUAUUCGGAGGAACACCAGUGGCGAAGGCGGCUCACUGGCUCGAUACUGACGCUGAGGUGCGAAAGCGUGGGGAGCAAACAGGAUUAGAUACCCUAGUAGUCC